GAACAGCAGGGUGGAAAAAAACACAAGUAUGAAUGAAUGUGGUAUUAACUUCUACCAAAGCGCUCCACGGAAAACCACCGAGCUUAAAAGCCCUCAACGGUGUAUGAACUUCAACUCUGCUGAAGGAGAUUCCAGCCCUCUGGGUGGUUGCAGCUAGUAAGGACUUGAUUGCUAACCCCUUGGGUCACACUGUUUAGAGACAAGUGACACCUGAUAUACCAGUG
rnacentral:lncRNA from 1 species